AUGGGGAAGAGGAAGGAUCACUACGAGAUCCUGGGCGUGCCCAAGGCGGCCACCGCCGGCGACAUCAACGAGGCGUACCACAAGCGGAGCGCGCUCAAGUGGAAGGAGGCGGAGCGGGGGUUCCAGCGCCUCACCACAGCCCACAAGGUUCUCAGUGACCCGCUGAGGCGCCCGCUCUACGACAAGCACCUGCGCGCCGAGGAGAAGCUCAUGGGGAAGGCGCCGCCGCCGGCCGCAUCCACGGGUGUGGCACUGGAAAGGGUGGUACGUACAGGCCGGAAGGGCGCAGCUUUGGGCAGGGAGGUUGCGGUUGCGGGCACCGGCGGCAGGCAAAAUGCAGACCGGACGGGCGGAGGCGCCAAGCGUGCGGGCCUUCGAAGCUCAACGGGGAAGGCCAGCGGGAACGGCAAGCGCUCGCGAUGCCUAACGGACGGCGCGACAGAUGCGACGGGAGCACACGCGUCGACUACGUCCUUUUCCACCGGCCGUAGCACCUUUGAGAUGUCUGUGAAGUACACGAAUGAGUACUACAAUGAGGAGAAUUGUUCAUCCUUCGACGGCGAGCCAUUCUGCCCCACCGACCAUAGCACCUUCAAGGCGGCCGUGAAGACCAUGAAUGAGUACUACGAUGAGGAUGAGAACCUUGGGUUGUGCGUGUACGAGGAAGAAGGCGUGCAGGAUGACUAUGGCAACCAUGCCGGGGUUGGCAAUGAUGAUACCAGGGUUUGUGAUGACCUCAUCAACGGUGAUGACGUGGAAGGGGGCAUGCCGUAUGCAAAAUACGAUGAUUGCGGGGGUGGUGAUCACAACUAUGGCGACCAUGGCGGGGCUGGCAAUAAUGAUGAUACCGGGGUUUGUGAUGACUACUACGACAAUGCUGCGGGGGGCUUUGACAAUGGCUACUACGACGGUGAUGCUGGGAAUGGAGCUGAUGACUGGUGGUAG
rnacentral:rRNA from 1 species